UACACCCUCAAUCAGUUAGUAGAUGACACCAGGCUGGAUAGGAGUUUUGUUCCACUGGAGUCUGUGAAAGCUCUACAUCUGGACAGUCUGGACUGAUGUGCUGAGGCCAGUGGUGUGAAUUUCAACAAGACAAAUUUCCAGAAACUCUGAAUGGAAAUCUGUUAAUAUAAGGCACAAAGGCAUGGCUUCUCAUCUCCUAUGUUUCAUUAAAGAGGAAGAAAAUUUAAUACUAAAAUAAUCUGUCACAAAGCCAGGGGGGACAUCCAGAGAUGGCAUAGAAGCCACAGGUUACAUGCUCCAGCAUCUUCCAGUAGCAGCAUCCAUCCUCCUAUACUCUGGCAGGCAAAAACCCUGAUUAAAUUAAUUCGUGUCUUCAACUACUGUUGAGCUCAUCAGCAACCUUCUAACAUUGUAUGUUUUGAAGAUAUAUGCUUAAGUGCAGUAAUUGUAGGUAUUGGUUCAUUAGCAAGUAUGAUCAACAUGGGUUAUCAAAAACGUUUUUCAUGCAUAACAAAUAGAGCAAAUUGCUAAAACAAUAAAAGAAAUAUCUAGGAUCUACAGCAGGUUCAUCUGCAUGAUGUAAUAAUUUGUUAACAUAAUUAGCAGCAGAUUUAUAGUAACUCAAUUUUCCACCUUCUUUAAUCUAAAGGAGUCCAGGGAUACUGUCCUUCUUUCUGCAGAAAGUUUGUGCCCUGGCUGGCAAAAUGUCAGGUGAAAUUAAGACUGUGCAAUGAAGAAAGUGUUCUUUUAGAUGUGAUAGACUCCCUUUAGAAAUCUUGCUGAUUGCACACAGGCUGUGUAAUUACGGGCACUUGUGAACUGUACUUCAUUACAAUGACAAAGCGUUGGCACUGGUGAGACAUGUAACCCUCCCAGUACUCAAUGAACACAAUUCAAGUACUCUUUUAGAAUCACCACAAUAAUUUAAAAAAAAAAAAAACAACACAAGGAACAUGGUAACAACAUAGUUGUACUUUUCCCCCCUAAAGAUUAAAACAAGGCAGUAUUUAUUUUCUCCUUCUAGGGCAAUAGAAAUCGCAUAACUUUUAAUAUUUUAUCUUGACUAAAGAAAUGUAAAUGUUGCCAUUAACAUUGUUGUUCCACUGGAAGCUUCUGUUCUUGUGUAUUAUAGGCAGAGUUGCAGUAUUUUCAUCUUUUCCAUAUGAACUACGAUACAGUUUAAAUUUGGCACACUUAAUUUUCAAAGGGAAUUACACUAAAAGGAGAACUUUUACUAGAUGUCAAUGAAUGGACCUAUGACUGAUGAUAGUUCUAAGUUGUAGAGGUGCACAAGUAUUCUUUCUUAGCUUAAGACAAAGGUACUUACCUAUGGAGAAGAGAAAUAAACAAUGGAAGCGUUGACACUGCCUUCAUUGUGAUAAAGUGCAAAUUUCUGACUGAUUUCCAAAAGGAAAAAUUUCACACACAAGACUUGCUACAAAUUGAGUCUAUAUUUGAAGGCUCCAGCAAAGAAAAGAGAGAUUCAUCUAUGCUGUACUAGUCAAAUCAGAUGUAUCUGCCAGUUUGAGAAUACUUUUUAACUUUCUGAUUAUGAUCUUUACUAUAUUUUUUGGAAAUGUCUACACUUACACAAAGUUACAUUACUGUGUAGUUCAUAACUCAUUAACUGGAGAAAUGCAAAUUUUAAAAUAGAAAUAUUUCUACUAUACAGUAUUACAAACAUACAUUAAAUAAAGCCAUACAUAAGGAAAAUGCACAAAACUUUAAGUCUUUUACUUCAACAUUUUCUGCUAAAAAGUUGUGAUUUAUGGCUUCUGUUUCAAGACCUUUGUGAAUGUUCAUAAAUGAGCAGAAUUUGCAUAUCAUUCUAAUAUGUUCCCCAAAAGGAAAACUGUUUCCCUUGUAGAAAACACUAAAAUUAAUUUGAGAAGAACAAUCAUGAAAAGAGAAUGAACAACGACCUGGUCAUGCAAGCUCUCCUCACUUGGCGUUUAUUGUAUGGUCUCUGUAAACCCAGACACUCACAUAAGUGUUUAGAAUACUAGGCUAUGCCAUCCUCACUUUUCACAUAAAAUUUGGAAAAUCAGAAUAAAUUUAAUGGAAUUAUGUAGAAACUUCUUCCCAACCAGUGCUUGCAAAUUACUCUAUAGCUACACAUAUUUACAUUUGGGCUUGAUAAUUUUUAGCCAAUGCCUUGACCCAUUUGACGUCCUCCCACUAUGCUCUGCAGAGCUGCAAGGAAAGGACAGCAGUCCCCAAACCCAACUCCUUCUAUCACACCUACGUAUUGGAUAAGAAUAGCAAAGCACAGGAAUGCAGAUGAAACUAGAGAGAACACAUGGUCAGUCAGUGUUAACCCUUUUUAAUAUUCCACUUCCCACCAGAGAGAAUUUAAUUGUUUCUUAAAUUGCUCUAGGGCCUCUGGAUGAGCAACAGAGUAGACAUUUCUUUGAAAAAAAUAAUCUCUGUAAUAAAUAUAGAUCUAUCAUAACCAUGGAUCAUUCUGGAGUCACAGCAAUCUUUCCUUGCCUAAUUAAACUGUGUAAUAUGAAAAUGCAGGCCAGGCCCAUAAGGCACAACAGAUCUGAGGGAGUGUGGAAAUGCCUGGAAGUUGCAAGCUGGGCAGAGAGGCAGAAAGGCACAGGAACUACGCCUGCAUGCUAAUGAACUGCACCAGAUCGUAAUCCAUACAGAUGCAAUUUAAAUUCCCUUCCACAUCCUCAGCCUCAAAUUCUCCUAAUUAACCCGCAGCCAUGAGAUAAGCAGCCAUGCAGAGGGGAGGAUGGCUCAACAGAGAUGACAAAAGGCAAAAUACAACUCCUUGCCACUUCACUUUCCUCAGGAUUUGAAGGUUGUGUCAAUCAUUAAGCCAAACUCAGAGGGGUAAUCAAAAUGUCAUUUACUUAAUAUCCCCAUUACAUUUUAACUUUUACCUUAUAAGCAUUUCUGGAUUUAGACCUGGCAAAAAUGUUUUAGCAAUCACAAAACACACACUUCCACAACCACGCGACAGCUCUUAAAAGCAUUUCCCUCCCACUUGACAAGCAGCUUUGUUAAAGAUGGCAGGCAGUAUUUCAUCAGCUUGGCUUACAGUUUUUGUAGAGACACUCAGCUUCCUACAGAGGUUUAAGUGUAAUAGAAGUCAAUUUAUUUCCAGCUCUAGCACCAUGCAGACUGGCAAAGACACCAAAGAAGAGAAGUGCUCUACUUUAAUUCGACUGGUGUCACAGCAACCCAGCAGCCUUCCAUGUUACUACAUGUAGAAACCUGUUACAAACCAUAGUUCCCACAGCCAUUACCCUCAAACUUGCUAUAGAUGGGAUCUACAAACUGCAGUCCCUCACAAGCACUCCUAGCAUCUACAAACUGCAAUUCUUCAACAGCAGUUCAAUGCUGCCUUAACACCUAACAGGGUAGAUCCAGAGAGACCUGUCUGUUUUCAAUAGAAUUCCUCAUAAAUUACACUCAUUCAAAAGCAGAAUUUGUCAAAGUGGUUUUUUAGUAAUCACAAUAAGACAAACUGCUGUCUACGGUUUUGGGCAUUUUCUGGUUUGUUGUUGUUGUUGUUGUUGUUUGGGUUGUGUUUUUUUAAAUGAGUGGUAACAAAGAGCUCCUUUCAGUAAGCACUGAGAGCUUGCUACUCCACCGCAAUUAAAUGAGAUGAAAAGUAUUUGAUUGUCCAUUUACCAGUAUUUGCAUAUAUGAAAAGAUUUUGCCCAUGCAAAUGUAUGCAAGUGUUGUUUAAUAAACAGGUUCUCAUGUGUUCUUUUUUAAUACAACUCAGAAAUCUAAAGGAGUUACACAAAUGGAGUUACACAAUUUCACAAAUGGCAAAUCUUAGCUUUCAAUCUCUAUUACUGUUAUUUUCAAAUCAAUUUGAGUGAUCCCUUUAGUGUUUGCAUUUAACAUCUGGCUAGUAUCUUACUAGCUUACUUGAAGAGAAUUGAUGUCCUCAUUUUGAAUUUUAAUGAAGACCACAAUGCAUAAAUCACUGACAUUAGAUUCCAUACUGGUACACUUGGCCUUGAUGGAAAGGUGAAGCAAGACAAAAAGAAUUAAAUGCCAUUACAUUACUGCAACUGAAUAAUCCAAAUCAUGGGUCGUCCACAGCACCUGAGUAUGACUGCCACAGUCAGUCUUUACAUAGCUCAGGAGCAAAAUUAAGAAAACUUCAGGUCUCUUGAUUUAUGACAUGGCCCGAUUUAUGAUUUAUGUGUUCUACAGUCACUAGAAAACCGUGAUUUUUUUUUCCAUCUCUGAGAAAGGAAAAAUGCCACACUGUCCUAUGAACACCUACAUAUUUUCAGACGGCCAAUAAUGAUUUCCUUUGUCAAACUACCUACUACUGUACUCCUAUACUUCUAACAGAAAGUCACAGCACAGACUGAGACAGGGAAAAAACCUGAGAUAUAUAAAUUUGACAAGUGAGUCAGACUCUACUUGCUUAGGUCUCAGGCCUUUUAUUCCAUGCUGUGCUCUGAGAGAGAGAGAGAGAGAGGUACUACUCCAGGUCUUACUGUGGUUAAUAUUGCAGCUUCUAAACAGGAGACACUCAGGCCUCUUGGAGAUACCCAGAAAAUACAGAGAAAGCAUGAUCUGUCAGGCUGAUUUUCCUACCUGUAUCUAGAGGUAUGUUAAUUUAUGCACAAAUCUAGCUGUGUGUAAUGAUCUUGCUUUUUUCCCUACCAGUUUUGCAGAGUUAAUGUUAAGCCUUUUCUUAAAAUGAUCACUAUCUGUAGUCUUCAACCUGAGAAAGUUCUUGACCUGAAUAUCCUUCAUUGACACUGAGAGAUAUGAAUUUUGCUGAGCUCACUUCACAUUGAGGGAUUCAUCUUUCACAGUCAACAGAGCUGAAGUCUCUGAAAUUUAAACUCCCAGCAAGAUCUCAGAGAAAACUAGAAACAUAUGUCUCACAUUAAGAACUAAGACAUAAAAACAUUACAGUAUUCAUACUGACUUUAGAAUGUGAUCAUUUACUGCACAGCAGUGGGCAUGGGCAUUGAGAAUGCCAUCUGCUGGCAAAAACAGCAU